rnacentral:miRNA from 1 species
UCUUUGGAGUGUUGAACGUCA